CCCGCAAAGCCUCUUUUUAAUGCUUAAAUCGGCGGGU
rnacentral:sRNA from 12 species